rnacentral:rRNA from 1 species
GACGAACGCUGGCGGCGUGCUUAACACAUGCAAGUCGAACGAUGAAGAAAAGAAUCGUAGCUUCGGCAGAAAUUCAUUUCGGAUUAGUGGCAGACGGGUGAGUAACGCGUGAGCAACCUACCUCUUACAAAGGGAUAGCCUCGGGAAACCGGGAUUAAUACCAUAUAACAUUGCGACGAAGCAUUUCGAUGCAAUCAAAGCUACGGCGGUAAGAGAUGGGCUCGCGUCCCAUUAACCGGAUGGUGAGGUAACGGCUCACCAUAGUGACGAUGGGUAACCGGCCUGAGAGAGUGAGCGGUCACACUGGAACUGAGACACGGUCCAGACUCCUUCGGGAGGCAGCAGUGGGGAAUAUUGCACAAUGGAGGGAACUCUGAUGCAGCGACGCCGCGUGAGUGAUGAAGUAAUUCGUUUCGUAAAACUCUGUUCUAUGGGAAGAAAAGGACUGUACCAUAGGAGAAAGCUCCGGCUAAAUACGUG